rfam:Salmo salar isolate Sally breed double haploid chromosome ssa18, whole genome shotgun sequence.
UGACAGAGGAAAGGUAAGUCGCUCUGGAUAAGAGCGUCUGCUAAAUGACUAAAA